ensembl:lncRNA
GUUGAGGUGGGUGCUGCUCAUGAUCAUCUAGUCUAGGUGGGUUAGGGGUUAGGGGUUAGGUGGGUGCUGCUCAUGAUCAUCUAGUCUAGGUGGGUUAGGGGCUAGGGGUUAGGGGUUAGGUGGGUGCUGCUCAUGAUCAUCUAGUCUAGGUGGGUUAGGGGCUAGGGGUUAGGUGGGUGCUGCUCAUGAUCAUCUAGUCUAGGUGGGUUGGGGUUAGGGGUUAGGGGUUAGGUGGGUGCUGCUCGUGAUAAUCUUGUCUAGGUGGGUUAGGGGUUAGGGGUUAGGGUUAGGGGUUAGGGUUAGGGGUUAGGGUUAGGGGUUAGGUGG